GGAGGUUUAGCACCUCUAAAAACAUGUUAGCUGAGCUUUUAUUUCAGGUCUUUCAGAGGCAGGGCUCUCGAGGGUCAGCCCCUUCCUGCACCAGGGAUUACAGAUCCCUUUGGAGGGGUCCAAGCCUGGGGACAUCAUCCUUCCCACAGCAGGGAUGCAGGCACCAUGCCGGGGGAGCCAAGGCCUCAGGAGGGCUGGCUGCCUUCAUGCACAGCUCCCUGCUGCAGGAGCUGCCCUUGCUUUGGGAAAUAAUUGAGAGAGUAUAUUUUGCUUUUUAUUUUAUUUUAUUUUAUUUUAUUUUAUUUUAUUUUAUUUUAUUUUAUUUUAUUUUAUUUUAUUUUAUUUUAAGGAAAAUGACCAAAAACCUACAGGGGGGGAUUAUUUUCUGCAGCCACCUGUGGGUAGAGCAGGCCUGAAAUUAUUUUCCUGCACGGUGAACACCCCGUGUGGCCCCAAGGUGCUGGUGGAUGUUUCUCCUUCUUACAGGUGUCCCUGAGAACUAAGAUUUAAAGAGGAAAGCCUUUCCCUCCCCCCACAGCCCCCAUUUCCACAUGGAGGAGAGGAUAUAGAGAAGAGGAAGGGUCAGGGAAUGACACCCCCCCCCCCCCCCGCUGAUGAGCCACUCCUGACGGACUGGUGCUGCUCAGCUCCUGUCUACAACACACAUCUCUGCUUCUGGGCUGGAGGAACAGCGUGUGUGGGACCCGAGCUGCUUCUCACAUUGGGCAGUGAGGAGGGAGCGGGUUGGGGGGUGAGGAUGCUCACCCUGCUCACCCUUUCCCUUUUCACUUUCUGGAUCGAUGCUGAACUUUGGGCAUAUUUCAUAGCUCAGUUGGCAGUUAUUAACAUUCGCUGCUCACUUUUGUUUACAGUUGGUUAUUUACUUUGUUGAAUUUUUAAAAACUUGUUAGAAUGCAAUUGAACACAGAUUCAACAGUAUUUAGGCUUGAAAAAUAAAGAUGCAUUAGAAAGAUGCCUAUUAUGCUUCAGAAUUAUUAAUUGACAUUUUUAUGAUGAAUAAUUAAUCAUUUGAAUAAUUUUCCUAUCUCUGAUCUGAACACAUAUUUGCAUAUCUAAUGUCUGAUUUUAAAUGUGGUUUCUUUAGUUGCAUUCUCCCAGGAC
ensembl:lncRNA